rnacentral:piRNA from 1 species
UAUAUUUCACUGUAGAAUUGAAUU